CAUGGCUGGUGGCGUACCUCCUGAUCCCGGGCGGUGUCUUCACGUAUGCGCAAGCAUUCAGAUACCAGGCCCGCUCACCGCGGGCUUUUUUUU
rfam:Cronobacter sakazakii ATCC BAA-894, complete genome.